UACGAAGGGGGCUAGCGUUGUUCGGAAUUACUGGGCGUAAAGGGUGCGCAGGCGGGCCUGUAAGUCAGAGGUGAAAGCCCACGGCUCAACCGUGGAACUGCCUUUGAUACUGCAGGUCUUGAGUCCUGGAGAGGCUAUCGGAAUUCGUGGUGUAGCGGUGAAAUGCGUAGAUAUCACGAGGAACACCGGAUGCGUAGGCGGAUAGCUGGACAGGUACUGACGCUCAGGCACGAAAGCGUGGGGAGCAAACAGG
rnacentral:rRNA from 1 species